rnacentral:rRNA from 1 species
GGACUUUCCAUGCAAGUCGAACGGCAGCGCGAGAGAGCUUGCUCUCUUGGCGGCGAGUGGCGGACGGGUGAGUAAUAUAUCGGAACGUGCCCAGUAGCGGGGGAUAACUACUCGAAAGAGUGGCUAAUACCGCAUACGCCCUACGGGGGAAAGGGGGGGAUCGCAAGACCUCUCACUAUUGGAGCGGCCGAUAUCGGAUUAGCUAGUUGGUGGGGUAAAGGCUCACCAAGGCAACGAUCCGUAGCUGGUUUGAGAGGACGACCAGCCACACUGGGACUGAGUCACGGCCCAGACUCCUACGGGAGGCAGCAGUGGGGAAUUUUGGACAAUGAGGGAAACCCUGAUCCAGCCAUCCCGCGUGUAUGAUGAAGGCCUUCGGGUUGUAAAGUACUUUUGGCAGAGAAGAAAAGGUAUCCCCUAAUACGGGAUACAGCUGACGGUAUCUGCAGAAUAAGCACCGGCUAACUACGUGCCAGCAGCCGCGGUAAUACGUAGGGUGCAAGCGUUAAUCGGAAUUACUGGGCGUAAAGCGUGUGUAGGCGGUUCGGAAAGAAAGAUGUGAAAUCCCAGGGCUCAACCUUGGAACUGCAUUUUUAACUGCCGAGCUAGAGUAUGUCAGAGGGGGGUAGAAUUUCCACGUGUAGCAGUGAAAUGCGUAGAUAUGUGGAGGAAUACCGAUGGCGAAGGCAGCCCCCUGGGAUAAUACUGACGCUCAGACACGAAAGCGUGGGGAGCAAACAGGAUUAGAUACCCUGGUAGUCCACGCCCUAAACGAUGUCAACUAGCUGUUGGGGCCGUUAGGCCUUAGUAGCGCAGCUAACGCGUGAAGUUGACCGCCUGGGGAGUACGGGUCGCAAGAUUAAAACUCAAAGGAAUUGACGGGGACCCGCACAAGCGGUGGAUGAUGUGGAUUAAUUCGAUGCAACGCGAAAAACCUUACCUACCCUUGACAUGUCUGGAAAGCCGAAGAGAUUUGGCCGUGCUCGCAAGAGAACCGGAACACAGGUGCUGCAUGGCUGUCGUCAGCUCGUGUCGUGAGAUGUUGGGUUAAGUCCCGCAACGAGCGCAACCCUUGUCAUUAGUUGCUACGCAAGAGCACUCUAAUGAGACUGCCGGUGACAAACCGGAGGAAGGUGGGGAUGACGUCAAGUCCUCAUGGCCCUUAUGGGUAGGGCUUCACACGUCAUACAAUGGUCGGGACAGAGGGUCGCCAACCCGCGAGGGGGAGCCAAUCUCAGAAACCCGAUCGUAGUCCGGAUCGCAGUCUGCAACUCGACUGCGUGAAGUCGGAAUCGCUAGUAAUCGCGGAUCAGAAUGUCGCGGUGAAUACGUUCCCGGGUCUUGUACACACCGCCCGUCACACCAUGGGAGUGGGUUUCACCAGAAGUAGGUAGCCUAACCGUAAGGAGGGCGCUUACCACGGUGGG